rnacentral:rRNA from 1 species
AGUUUAACAGGUGCUUGCACCGGUUAAACUUAGUGGCGGACGGGUGAGUAACGCGUGGGUAACCUGCCUCGUACUGGGGGAUAACAGUUGGAAACAGCUGCUAAUACCGCAUAAGCUCACAGAGCCACAUGGCUCAGAGAGAAAAACUCCGGUGGUACGAGAUGGACCCGCGUCUGAUUAGCUAGUUGGUGAGGUAACGGCUCACCAAGGCGACGAUCAGUAGCCGGCCUGAGAGGGUGAACGGCCACAUUGGGACUGAGACACGGCCCAAACUCC